rnacentral:lncRNA from 1 species
UCCUGGAGUAGCAAUGGUACAGGAAAGGGUUUCCAUUUUCUGUGCCAUAAGGUGCUGGUGUUGAUCUUCUUAAAGCCCCAGAGUUUUCUUCCAAGACUGGAUUACACUCAGCAAUUAAGAGCUUCCUGUUGUAAGAGCUCAGCAGACAGUGACGCGAGACACUGCCUCCCAACUUCAGUUCACCUUUGCAGUUCCACAAGGGACACCAUGUCAAGAUUGUUCAGCUUUUUUGAUGAGUGCUGCGUGGGUAACUAAUGUGUAAAUGCAGAUACGUAUAGAAAGCAGUUUUGACAGUGAUGUAUUGCAACUGGUUCCAGAUGUCGGUAAGGGAUGCUUGGCCAGGCAUCUAGAGCUCCACUGCCACGGAGCAGCACCA